rnacentral:rRNA from 1 species
GACGUAGGUGGCGAACGUUAUCCGGAAUCAUUGGGCGUAAAGGGUGCGUAGAUGGCCUGAUAAGUUAGCAGUGGGAAAUCGAGGCUCAACCUCGUGGAAGCUGGUAAUACUGUCAGGCUCGAGUGCAGGAGAGGUUAACGGAACUCCAUGUGGAGCGGUAAAAUGUGUAGAUAUAUGGAAGAACAUCAAUAACGGCGAAGGCAGUUAACUAUUCUGUUACUGACGUUUGAGGCACGAAAGCGUGGGGAGCAAAACGGG